AAAAAAUGCUAGAGCUAUGAUGCAGAUUAGGCAUAUAGGUUAUUUCAUUUGAAUAAUAUAAUAUAUUUCGAUAGAAAUGUUUUACUGUUGGUGUCACUUUUACGUCAACCCGAGCAUUUAAUAUUAGAGUUUGUAACCAAAGCAUAAAAUUUGACAAUAGAGUUUUAAAAGUAUGUUAAAGUUGUUAAAGUUUAUUUAGUUGUUAGUUAAAGUUGUGAUAUAUUGCACGUACGUUUUCGCUUAACUUAGAUAUGACUAUUAAAAUUGUGAAUUUGUGUGUUAUCAAUUGUUUAAAAGUGAGUUGAAUUUGUGAAUUGCUGUUGAAGCUACGUCUAACGUGAAGUUGAAUAAUUUAAGAAAAUGAACACCAAUAGAAAAAAAGGCAACAGUAGCUUUCGAAAACUGUUUCCUCUCCUUUUUUUAAAUAAAUCCAAAGACAAAAAUUCCAAUAAAGAUUCUACGAGUCUGAAGACACAAAGUGACCAUUCUUCUAAUAGUAAUAAAUAUCAAAAUCCUCGAGCAGUUAUUAGUAAUACAGAGAAGCAUGUCGAUAAUCAAGAUAAUAACGAUUGUAUAUACGAGGAUCUAGCAGUGACACAACAGCAACAUAUACGCGAUAACGACUCGCAGCGCAUUGACGUGCUAAGCAAUCAUUCAUCGAGCAGUACUUUAGUUUCAGAUAGCGUAAAAAACAAACCUAUUUACUUAAAUACAGAUUCAGAAUUAUUGAAUGUUAAAAAAAAAGAAUAUGCAAGUUAUAGGGCUAGACCACAAGUGCCUCGAAAACCACACAACGAAGCUGCUAGCACUACGAUAAAAGAAGGUACGUCAGGGACUUCCCAAUAUCCUGAUGUUUAUUACCAUUCAUUGGAGAAAUUAACUGAUAAAAUAUCGCCAAUAGACGAGAUUGAGAUAUGCAGGGCAUCUAGACUACAAACAGAUCCCACACCAGUUGGUGCGGAAAUCAAAAGAGUAAGCACAAAGUUCCUCAUAUCUCCAAAAAAAGAAGCCGAAGUACGGACUAUUCAACCCACGAGAGCUAGAAGUUUAUCCUUCGAUAAACAUCAGAAGGCACAUGAUGACAAAAUUGAUAAUACAUCUUCAAUGAAAAUGAAUGUUCAAAAGGCUUAUAAUUAUUCCGCACCUACUUCUCCGAUGCCAAUAAAUCAUAAAAUUCCAAAUAUGCCUAAAACUGUAUCUCCUUACGAACAAGUAAGAAAAACUAUGAUCGAAGCCGAAGAAAAAAGAAACUCGUUAAAUAGAUGUAGCAUACAUAAUAAAUCAACGCCUUCACCUAAACCGCAGGAUUAUAAUGAAAUAUUGAAAACAUCACCUUUAUCACAUGUGGAUAUUGCAAAAAACGAUGACAUUGUUGAAAAGGAAAAAGCACGUCAAAAAGUCGAAGCGUUUUAUUGGCAGAAACUAAAAGAACAAAAACAAAAGGAAGACGAAUAUUUAAUGAGACAAUCACUUCAAAUGUCGUCUAUGAGAAGUUCCGCGAGAUAUAAUGUACCUUAUUCGAAUUGUAGCACACCGAAUUCUUUAAUUUUAGAAUCUAAAAGUUGCAGUCUGCCUCGCGGACAAGAGUUCAGUAGUUAUAGUUUAAAUCAGCCAAUUUAUUCGCGAUCCCCAUUCGCGCGAGGAGCGCCCGAGAGGCGUACAGAUACUUUUAUACGGCAUCGAACUUCUCCUAUCGACCAAGAUAUCGUCUAUCGACACCCGGAGAAACUAAAUUUGCGAACUAACUCGCCAGUCAUCGUAUCGCAAGAUAAAAGACAAGCGCCUAUUUUCCAUAGAGGUUCUUUGGCUCGAGAUUCUCAGAAUAAUAACAUGAAUCAACAAAUCAACAACAAAAGGGUCAGUUUUGAAGAGCAGCAUUUAUCAAAAAGUGGUGUUAAUGUCAGUGACACUGUGAAAAGUGGUGGUGUAGACUCUAAAAUGAUAAAUGACAGUUACAAGUUAAUAAAUCCGCGGAAUGAGUCCUCUCCGACGGUGUCUUUGAAACUCAGUGAUAAAGCAAAAGGACCUUGUAAGGGUCCACCGCGGCCCCCAAUCCGUACAUCGAGUGUUGAUAAAAGUAACAAAAUAACGAAUAAUAAGAAAAAGUUACUAUUUCCCGGUCAUAAUGUGUACUCGGAAUCUGAAAGUGGAUCAGAGGCUGGCGAGAUUCAAAGGAUUCUUCAAAACAACUUGCAUAAAGAAGAAGACUGGCAUGGAGACGGUUCUAGAAUCGAUGGGGGAUUGUCUGACGGUGAGGCGAGCCGUGGGCCAACUCGUGGGCGCACGUCGCGUCGCGACGAUCCGCGUCGCCACACCUUGGCUGGGAACCAUCUGUACGUCCACCCACACCAUCCCGGACAGAUUAACUCCAUUGAGAUGGAGCAAUACGGACCUGUCCAGAGAGCAAUGAAUGUGCCAGAAUACGCGGUCGUUACAAAGUACAGAGAAUCGAAGCCAACCCGGAUCCUAGAUCCCCGAUCGAGAAAGCCACCCUUACCACGGGGAUACCCACCACCGACAAAUGCCAUGCUGUUCGACGAUGACCCUGGCAUCAUGUCGGAGGUGGAGACAGCAUCUACUGGCUUCCGUCGCGGGGGGAAACAGAGAUCGUCGCUACCAGUUGUGCGAACACCGAGUAAGACACUCGAGAGACCUUUGGGUCUGGUAUUUCUGCAGUACAGGAAUGAAACGAAACGAGCAUUGUUGCCGAACGAAAUAACAUCAAUUGAUACUGUGAAGGCAUUGUUCGUGCGAAGCUUCCCCAAGCAGCUCACAAUGCAAUACAUGGACAGCCCUAUGGUCAAAAUAUAUAUCCAUGACUCAUCGAAGGACAUGUUUUAUGAACUAGAAGAUGAUAGGGCCCAUCUUCGUGACAUACGAGACCGAUCCGUGUUACGCCUGUUCGAGGCGACGGAUAUAGGCGGCGGCGCGUUCCCUGGCGCGGUAGGCGUCGGCUCGCUCGCCAUGCCGCCCGCAGCAUGCUCUGGUCCCUCCAGUUGGGACCAGGUUAGUAACUACAACGAUCAAAGCUACUUCAGCGAGCCUGAGAUCGAUUCGGAAUAUCACCACCAACACGUUCACAAAUCAAAGGUCAAAGCCCCGGCUUAUUACAUGGGCACCCAAGCACCAAGUACUCUCCCGCGCGGAGGAUCAAUCCUAAGGGCAUUCUCACCAGCAGCCGCUCCCGUGCCAGCUGACCGAGUCAAAAGCAUACCAGGUUCCUCCGCGCCGGUCAAGCCUUUGCGUACAAACAUGCCGGAGAGACGACCGGAAAGAUGUUUCCCCUACGCCGAUUGUCCCCGGGGUCCUGACCGACUGUACACCGUCCUUGGACACUCGGGUGAGGGCUACAUGUCAUCACCCGAGCGUGUGGGAGCACGGGUUCCGUACGAGGAACCUUACUACACCCAGUUCCUGGGACCGGCCGCUUCUCGUCCUAUCGCUUCUGCGAUAGAUGAAGAAGCCAGCGAUGGAAUAAUUGUGGAGGACGCGUACCAAAUGUAUGGGGUGAACCCCAUUACAACUGCGCCCCGUCCCAUGCCUCGACCGCCUUACGACGCCAGACUUCCACAAGACGAUAUGCAGCGACUUCGUGUCGAAAAGAUGGAGCGGCAACUGGCCAACCUGACAGGAUUGGUUCAGAAGGCGCUGCAGGUACCAGCCACGGCUCCGCCUCCAGUCACGCCUCGCCAAGACUUCCAGGGGUAUCAAGUCACUCGUCCAGCUUCCCAGGAUGCCGCGAGAUUUGCCAGCAACGAGAGACCUCCCAAAUUAGGGAGAGAUAAAUUUCAAAAAUCCGUGUCGUUUGAGAAAUCGGUGUCGUUUUGUGAUGAUCCGCCCGAUUUGAAUUCUCCCAAACAACACUCGCCUCAACAUUCAGCCGAUACCAAACCAACAAAACCGGCAAUCAAAUCAUCAACUUUGCCGCGGACCUCCUCACAAGAGCGAGACCGUCUAAAGCCUGCACCACCACCGAAACCAGCUGGUUUAGUUGGCCAACAACUUGCUUUGGUGCCACAGAGAUCUUACACGAUCAACGUCUCACCCGAUUUCUUUAAUCAACUCCGUAUCCUGCAAAAGCAGAGUCGCGAUCUAAGAAUCGAGACUCGCAAUUUGCGUCGAUCGACUCUGGCUCACGCCAUGCAAAUGAGGCAACUCAUGGCUGAAACUAUUGUGAAGAUAGGCGCCUUAGCGGCUAGUUUUUGCGAGCAUGACCCCGAAUCGCAACUAACUCGAGAAGAAGAAAUUUACAGGCAAGAUAUGCUACUGCUCGAGAAUGAUCUAUAUGAACUCGAGGCAACUGUUGAACGUCUUCGCGGCCAAGCUGCCAAUAAAGAAACACGGGUUAACAUGGCGGACAUAGAACGAAUCGCGAUGGUACUCUCAAAGAGUAGUAAGACAGUUGCUGAUUGGAAAUUGAAGUUCCCGAUUCUUCAGGACACGAUGAAAGUCAAAUUAGCUUCCGAGAUGGAAAAAGUUGUCAGAAAAGAGAAAAUGUUAGAAGAGGAACCUGAACGCUUAGAAUUAGCGUUAAGACGAUGCAAGAAAUUGACCGGGACGCUUGUGACUUUGAAAAGGUUAGCCUGCGUUCAAGAGCAAAGACUUCCGAUCACAGAUGGUCGCAUAUCUCCAGGCUCUUCACAAAGCUCAACUUUUACGGGUGGACCAUCAUCUGAAGAGUUUAAUUCUGAUAGCACGUGCCAUGUUGCGCAAACUCACAAUAAGCGUAUUCUCGAUAGCAGGAGCAGCUCACAACCUAGAACUUCUGGAAUGAAUAUGCCUUAAACACCACGUCUUCCAUUUCCUCGAACUUCCGACCAACAUACACUGUCUAUAAGCAAUUAUAUCACUCUCACAGAAUAAUUGAUAAUCUUCCUGAUAUGCUUCCAUUAAUUUCACAAUUCUUACUCACUUAAUUCUCCGCUACCUACCAUUUCUAUAUUAUCCUCUACGAAAGAUAUAAGAUUGUGGUCGUCUAUAACAUGUCCUAUUUCAACCCCCCGAAUAACUGUUCUCUGACUUGAUUUAAAAAAUAUGACUUAACUAAUCCACGCAUCCGGAUCAAAGGGCACCGGCGGGUGCGGGCGAGCUGCACCCCGGGGAGCAGCGGACGUGCGGCCAGAGAACGCCCUUGACGCGCUACUAGACGAGCUGCAAACAUUCGCCAAGCCGUCCGA
rnacentral:misc_RNA from 1 species